GGCAGGGGAAGCUUAUCAGCGGGGCCACCUGCUGAGUGCUAGUCACUCCCCGGCCCCUGGGAAGGUCUGAGACUGGGACCUCCCUUCACCCUAAUUGGGCUCUCUCCUAGCAGGGAGAUGAGUUCCUAAAAUGGGGCAGACCUGGCAGGAGAGGCCCCAAGUGGGCGGAUGCCUCCCUCCUGGGAGCUUGGAAUAGUCAUGGCUGGGGCAGACAAUAUUAGCAUGCAAGAGAAGCUCCAUGGCUCUUACAGAGGAGAGAGAGAUAUAACAAGGGCCAUUUCCCUCAGAAAUUUCCUUCAUUUCUCUUGCU
rnacentral:RNase_P_RNA from 2 species